rnacentral:rRNA from 1 species
GACAGAGGGUGCAAACGUUGUUCGGAAUUACUGGGCGUAAAGCGCGUGUAGGCGGCUCGGAAAGUCGGGUGUGAAAGCCCUGGGCUCAACCUAGGAAGUGCACUCGAAACUUCCGAGCUGGAGUUCUGGAGAGGAAGGCGGAAUUCUCGGUGUAGAGGUGAAAUUCGUAGAUAUCGAGAGGAACACCGGUGGCGAAGGCGCACAUCUGGCCCGAUACUGACGCUGAUGCGCGAAAGCGUGGGGAGCAAACAGG